rnacentral:lncRNA from 1 species
AAUUCAGGACUCUGCAUCCUUGGAAGGCUGUAACUAGCUGAUACCCACAGAAGAGUAACUUGCAUAUUUGUGAACAACCCCUACUGUUGUCAUUCUAUUGAUUUAUUUUUAAUCUUUUUUUCUAAAAAGUGCUGCAAGAAAUUGUAGAGAGUGUCUCACGUGGAAUUUUGUGGUUUCACAAUGACAAAAGGGAAAGCAGUAACAUAGGGGAAAACAAUGUCAAUUAAAAGAAAAUGGAAGAUUCGAAACUUCUACGUAAUUCAUCUGCAUUGUCAUUAAACUCUUCCACAAAAGAAAAAAGUGGGCAGCUUAUGGAGAAGUAAUUUUUACUCAGAAACUUCUAAGCAUGGGAUGUUUUCAGCAAUGAUCCUACACACAGGCAGCAAGCUUAGAGCAAUCUCAGACAGGAAGCAUCCACUGAACUUCUUACACAGAAAUAUCAGUUCCAAGUUUUUCUCCCAGAAACUCUACGUGUCAGGAGGAAAAGGCAAGUGUUUACAACUGGGAUGGGGAAAUUCUGGCACAUUUGGCAGUGUCAAGCUCUGUGAGUUCAGCAGCAAGCUGCUGUUUAUUUUAUGUUUGUCAGCAUGA